rnacentral:rRNA from 1 species
CGCGUAGGUGGCGGCCCAAGUCCGUGGUGAAAGCUCGAUGCUCAACAUCGAGUCGGCCACGGAUACUGGGUUGCUCGAGCACUGUAGGGGCAGAUGGAAUUCCGGGUGUAGCGGUGGAAUGCGUAGAGAUCCGGAAGAACACCGGUGGCGAAGGCGGUCUGCUGGGCAGUUGCUGACACUGAGGCGCGACAGCGUGGGGAGCAAACAGGAUUAGAUACCCUGGUAGUCCACGCCGUAAACGAUGGGCACUAGAUGCUUGGGGGAGCGACCCCCUGAGUGUCGUCGCUAACGCAGUAAGUGCCCCGCCUGGGGAGUACGGCCGCAAGGCUGAA